rnacentral:rRNA from 1 species
AGGGUUUGAUUAUGGCUCAGAACGAACGCUGGCGGCAUGCCUAACACAUGCAAGUCGAACGAGCCCUUCGGGGUUAGUGGCGCACGGGUGCGUAACGCGUGGGAAUCUGCCCUUGGGUUCGGAAUAACUCGCCGAAAGGCGUGCUAAUACCGGAUGAUGUCGAAAGACCAUAGAUUUAUCGCCCAAGGAUGAGCCCGCGUAAGAUUAGGUAGUUGGUGAGGUAAAGGCUCACCAAGCCGACGAUCUUUAGCUGGUCUGAGAGGAUGAUCAGCCACACUGGGACUGAGACACGGCCCAG